rnacentral:rRNA from 1 species
GACGAACGCUGGCGGCGUGCUUAACACAUGCAAGUCGAACGGAAAGGCCCUGCUUUUGUGGGGUGCUCGAGUGGCGAACGGGUGAGUAACACGUGAGUAACCUGCCCUUGACUUUGGGAUAACUUCAGGAAACUGGGGCUAAUACCGGAUAGGAGCUCCUGCUGCUUGGUGGGGGUUGGAAAGUUUCGGCGGUUGGGGAUGGACUCGCGGCUUAUCAGCUUGUUGGUGGGGUAGUGGCUUACCAAGGCUUUGACGGGUAGCCGGCCUGAGAGGGUGACCGGCCACAUUGGGACUGAGAUACGGCCCAGACUCCUACGGGAGGCAGCAGUGGGGAAUAUUGCACAAUGGGAGGAAGCCUGAUGCAGCAACGCCGCGUGCGGGAUGACGGCCUUCGGGUUGUAAACCGCUUUCGCCUGUGACGAAGCGUGAGUGACGGUAAUGGGUAAAGAAGCACCGGCUAACUACGUG